rnacentral:rRNA from 1 species
UACGUAGGGUGCGAGCGUUGUCCGGAAUUAUUGGGCGUAAAGAGCUUGUAGGCGGUUUGUCGCGUCUGCCGUGAAAAUUCGAGGCUCAACCUCGAACUUGCGGUGGGUACGGGCAGACUUGAGUACUGCAGGGGAGACUGGAAUUCCUGGUGUAGCGGUGGAAUGCGCAGAUAUCAGGAGGAACACCGGUGGCGAAGGCGGCUUUCUGGACGGAUACUGACGCUGAGACGCGAAAGCGUGGGGAGCAAACAGG